rnacentral:rRNA from 1 species
GACGAACGCUGGCGGCGUGCCUAAUACAUGCAAGUCGAACGCAGUGGGGACGGGUGAGUAACACGUGGGUAACCUCCCAUCAGAGGGGAUAACACUUAGCAACAGGUGCUAAACCGAUACUGAUGGAUGGACCCGCGGUGCAUGAGGUAGUUGGUGGGGUAACGGCUCACCAAGGCCACGAUGCAUAGCCGACCUGAGAGGGUGAUCGGCCACACUGGGACUGAGACACGGCCCAGACUCCUACGGGAGGCAGCAGUAGUGAAUCUUGGGCAAUGGACGAAAGUCGGACCGAGCAACGCCGCGUGAGUGAAGAAGGUUUUCGGGUCGUAAAACUCUUUUGUUAGAGAAGCGGUAUCUAACCAGAAAGCCACGGCUAACUACGUGCCAGCAGCCGCGGUAAUUC